GAUGAAGAACGUAGCGAAAUGAGAUAAGUAGUGUGAAUUGCAGAAUUCAGUGAAUCAUCGAAUCUUUGAACGCACAUUGCGCCCUUUGGUAUUCCAAAGGGCAUGCCUGUUCGAGCGUCAUUUGUACCCUCAAGCUUUGCUUGGUGUUGGGCGUCUUGUCUCUAGCUUUGCUGGAGACUCGCCUUAAAGUAAUUGGCAGCCGGCCUACUGGUUUCGGAGCGCAGCACAAGUCGCACUCUCUAUCAGCAAAGGUCUAGCAUCCAUUAAGCCUUUUUUUCAACUUUUGACCUCGGAUCAGGAAGGGAUACCCGCUGAACUUAAGCAUAUCAAUAAGCGGAGGA
rnacentral:misc_RNA from 1 species